rnacentral:lncRNA from 1 species
AGCUUACUAAUAGGGGUCUUUGUUGUCUUUGUUCGUUCGUUCGCCGUUGGGGCUAGAGAAAAUCCCAGUUUCGAAUCGCACUAAGCCCAAGUAGAGCUAACGAGAGUCGCCUUGGUCCAUGAAGGAAAAGCUCAAGGUCUAGCUCUAUCUCCUUGCUCGUUUCACUCCUUUCCGUGAAGAGCACAGUAGGCACCAAGUCGCAGUGACAACGCCUUCCAGCGUUAGUCCUCCGGUAAUUAAGCAAGAACAAAAUCUCAUUCAUCGGAGGGAGCGUGGAUUGUUUUCAA